rnacentral:rRNA from 1 species
UACGGGGGGGGCAAGCGUUGUUCGGAAUUACUGGGCGUAAAGGGCGCGUAGGCGGUCAGACCAAGUCGAGUGUGAAAUUCCAGGGCUUAACUCUGGCGCGCUCGCUCGAUACUGGUCGGCUAGAGUGUGGAAGAGGAGUGCUGGAAUUCCCGGUGUAGCGGUGAAAUGCGCAGAUAUCAGGAGGAACACCGGUGGCGAAGGCGGGUCUCUGGGCCGAUACUGACGCUGAGGAGCGAAAGCGUGGGGAGCGAACAGG